rnacentral:lncRNA from 1 species
ACGGCUAUAAUAUCCUCCGCAAUCCUCCGCAAUCUAACGCGCGUAGGAUAUCAGACUAACAGAGCAACAAUGAUCGGAGGACCCCGGCAAAAUAAAGAAACCAAGAAAAUUUAUGACUAAGUAAAAGAAACAAUUUUCCAACAUUUGCUAACAAACACAUCCUGCGCACCAGGGGGGAAGGCAGCAACCAUGCUCAUAGUCUCCGCAGCGUGGCAUGUUUUUGAGCACAUGGACCGCAGGAGUGCCAUUAGCCCAAAAAGGGGGGAACUGUUGGGGAACAGCUGCAUCCUUCCCCCUGGUAGCGUCGGAGGUUAUCCUUCACCCGAGGAACCUCCGACGCCUGAAGCGUCGGAGGAUAUCCUUCACCGGAAAAUACUGAUGUUGACAACUCU